rnacentral:rRNA from 1 species
AUUGAGAGUUUGAUCCUGGCUCAGGACGAACGCUGGCGGCGUGCUUAACACAUGCAAGUCGAGCGAUGAAGCUCCUUCGGGAGUGGAUUAGCGGCGGACGGGUGAGUAACACGUGGGUAACCUGCCUCAUAGAGGGGAAUAGCCUUUCGAAAGGAAGAUUAAUAC